rnacentral:rRNA from 1 species
UAAGGAAUAUUGGUCAAUGGACGCAAGUCUGAACCAGCCAUGCCGCGUGAAGGAUGAAGGUCCUCUGGAUUGUAAACUUCUUUUAUCUGGGACGAAAACGGGAUUUUUAUCUCAAUUGACGGUACCAGAGGAAUAAGCACCGGCUAACUCCGUGCCAGCAGCCGCGGUAAUACGGAGGGUGCGAGCGUUAUCCGGAUUUACGGGGUUUAAAGGGUGCGUAGGUGGGCUUAUAAGUCAGUGGUGAAAUCUCCGAGCUUAACUUGGAAACUGCCGUUGAUACUAGAGGUCUUGAAUUGUCUGGAGGUGAGCGGAAUAUGUCAUGUAGCGGUGAAAUGCUUAGAUAUGACAUAGAACACCAAUUGCGAAGGCAGCUUACUACAUAUAAAUUGACGCUGAGGCACGAAAGCGUGGGG